UACAGAGGGUGCAAGCGUUAUUCGGAAUCACUGGCGGUAAGAGUUCGUAGGCGGUUUGUUUAGUCGAAUGUGAAAGCCCUGGGCUCAAUCCAGGAAGUGCAUUCGAUACUGGCAAGCUAGAGUGCAGGAGAGGAGAGCGGAAUUCCAGGUGUAGAGGUGAAAUUCGUAGAUAUCUGGAGGAACAACAGAGGCGAAGGCGGCUCUCUGGACUGUCACUGACGCUGGAGGAACGAAAGCAUGGGGAGCGAACAGG
rnacentral:rRNA from 1 species